rnacentral:lncRNA from 1 species
CGCUUCCAGGCUUCGCGUAUAAAUUUCCUUGUCCUUACCAUUCUCAUGAUGGAGGAAGUAAACAGCUUACAAGAGUAGAGACGCUCCAAGCAGUUUGGAAUUGGCAGGGAAGUUCCGUGCUAGCCUCUCUAAAUUGGAGAAUCAGCCUCUGAGCCCCAGUUCCGAGUGGUACCCCAGUUCUAGCUUCCUAUUGUCUUCCGCUCUGGGAGCCCUCAGUGCAUAUGCAUGUACUGUUUUCCCAGGAUUCUUCCUCCAGACACACAUAUUCCCCUCCACUUGUGUGCCUCCCAGACCCUUAUACCCCAAUGUGACAGUCCAUGGUGGUUUCCCCCAACAUGUGUACCAUGGAAUCUUAGUGUCUUGGAAUGCUCCACUAACCAAUAAUCAUGUUGUCAAAUCAGCCUUGAAGAUUUGUCAUGCGUAGCACUGACCUGCCUCCAAAAUGAACCCAGUGUUUCUCACCUCCUGGAAUUCACACCCCUUCCACCUUGGGUGAGACUGACCUGUGAGUAAUUAAGAAGAUGGUGUGUGGCUUCUGAGGAUAGGCCAUGAGAGAUGUUGUGGUUUUUCCCUUCUCUCUUGGAUCACUCACUGUAGGAGAGCCCACUGCCAUGUCGUGAGAACACACAAGCAGCCCCAAGGAGGGGUCCGUGUGGUAAGGAACUGAGACCCCUGCUGGCAGCCAACACCACUUUGCCAACAUUGUGAGUGACCCAUCUUGGACAUAGGUUCCUGACAUCCUGUGAAGCCUUCAGCUGACUGCAGCCCUGUCUGACAUCUUGACUGCAACCUCAUGAGAGAUCCCAAACAAGAACUACCCAGCUAAGCCAUUCCCUGAUUCCUGAUCCACAGAAAUAAGCGAAUUUUUAUUAGUGUUUUAAGUCUCUAAGUUUGGGGGCAAUUUUAAAUAUAAUAAAAGAUAACUAAU